rnacentral:rRNA from 1 species
CAGUAGCCGCGGGAAUACGAAGGGGGCUAGCGUUGCUCGGAAUUACUGGGCGUAAAGGGCGCGUAGGCGGACAGUUCAGUCGGGGGUGAAAGCCCGGGGCUCAACCUCGGAAUUGCCUUCGAUACUGGCUGUCUUGAGUAUGAGAGAGGUGUGUGGAACUCCGAGUGUAGAGGUGAAAUUCGUAGAUAUUCGGAAGAACACCAGUGGCGAAGGCGACACACUGGCUCAUUACUGACGCUGAGGCGCGAAAGCGUGGGGAGCAAACAGGAUUAGAGACCCCUGUAGUCCCUGUCUCUUAUAC